UACGGAGGAUGCAAGCGUUAUCCGGAAUGAUUGGGCGUAAAGCGUCCGCAGGUGGCGAUGUAAGUCUGCUGUUAAAGAGUCUAGCUCAACUAGAUAAGAGCAGUGGAAACUACAUAGCUAGAGUACGUUCGGGGCAGAGGGAAUUCCUGGUGUAGCGGUGAAAUGCGUAGAGAUCAGGAAGAACACCAGUGGCGAAGGCGCUCUGCUAGGCCGUAACUGACACUGAGGGACGAAGGUCAGGGGAGCAAACGGG
rnacentral:rRNA from 1 species